GAUGAACGCUGGCGGCGUGCCUAAUACAUGCAAGUCGAGCGAACAGACGAGGAGCUUGCUCCUCUGACGUUAGCGGCGGACGGGUGAGUAACACGCGGAUAACCUACCUAUAAGACUGGGAUAACUUCGGGAAACCGGAGCUAAUACCGGAUAAUAUAUUGAACCGCAUGGUUCAAUAGUGAAAGACGGUUUUGCUGUCACUUAUAGAUGGAUCCGCGCCGCAUUAGCUAGUUGGUAAGGUAACGGCUUACCAAGGCAACGAUGCGUAGCCGACCUGAGAGGGUGAUCGGCCACACUGGAACUGAGACACGGUCCAGACUCCUACGGGAGGCAGCAGUAGGGAAUCUUCCGCAAUGGGCGAAAGCCUGACGGAGCAACGCCGCGUGAGUGAUGAAGGUCUUCGGAUCGUAAAACUCUGUUAUUAGGGAAGAACAAAUGUGUAAGUAACUAUGCACGUCUUGACGGUACCUAAUCAGAAAGCCACGGCUAACUACGUG
rnacentral:rRNA from 1 species